UGUCCAGUGCAGGGAUAGCAGCGGAGAGAGAGAGAGAUAAAGACGGAGACAGAGACAGAAUGCCAGCAGAGUGACAGCCAGCAGUCAGUAACAGGACAGAGAGAGAAGAGAGAGGACCUUGAGACUACGACUAACUGGUAUCAAUGUGAAGAGGUCUCAGAGAUCCAACGACAAGGUCAGAAACAGACACAAGACCGGGACCAAGCGUGA
rnacentral:lncRNA from 1 species